rnacentral:misc_RNA from 1 species
AUGGGCGAAAAAUCCUGCUGUGUCAUGAGUAGGAAGCUAUAAGAGUGUCGGCGUGUGUCUGAGGAAUAGAAAGACUAACACUUCGGCUCUGCUUUAUCUACAGCUAACAUGGGUUAAAAGCGUGUCAGACUGCGAAAGGCUCGGAAUCGUUGUAUUGCAGAACACGUUUAUGCCUAGCGUCAAUCAACAGGCUUGAGUGUAAAGAGAACUCCCACUGAAAGCCGCUGUAGCCCAUACUGCUGCGUGAUAAUUCAGUUGGACUUGGUCACUCCCUGACUUAGACAUGGCGGCAUCUCGAUUGUGCUGUAGGCAGAAGAGUGAGAACUAUACAGAUGUUGUUAUUAUUGGGAAUGGACCUUCAGCUAUCACACUAUCAUAUAUGCUGCAUGGUUAUCGCCCAUACUAUAAUGGUGCCCCCCACUCCAACAGUAUUCUAAUCAACAAACUUAGAGACAACAAGGCUUCUGUUGUAGAGCAGGACUUGGAGUUUCUCUCAGAAGGAUUAGAAGGAAGGUCAACCAAUCCUGUGGCUCUGCUGUGGGACACUCUUAGUCACCCAGAUGCUGACCUAGGAGCAGACAACCCUUCAGUCCUAGAUUGGAAGCUUGAGAAAGAGAAAGUUAUUCCCCAUGUUGUUCUGGGGAAAACAAAAGUAGGAGGCUCUUGGCAGAACAUGGAAGGAAGCAUGCAUACUAUCAGCCAAAACAAUUGGAUGGAGCUACCUGGAUGUCCCUUCAGGGAGUGGCUUGCAAAGAGGCAUCGCAGAAUGGAUGUCCAAGGUGGCCGGGCAACUGUGGCUGAUGUGAGAAGUUACUAUGAAGAAUAUGUUGAAGACAUGGGGCUGAGAAAACAUUUCAGAGACUACCAUGUGGUCACAUCAAUUCAGAAGGUCUUUGAUCUCCGAAACUGUGCUGAUAGUGAAAGUGGAGAAGUAGAACACUGCUGCCAAAACAUACAAGAAAACCACUGCUUUUUAUGGGAGGUGCGUGGGUACUUCACCAAAGUCGCUGCCAGUGCUCAUAAUGUUAAAGACAUGGAGGAGAAAGAAGAGGAAAAUCAGUAUAUCUGUGACUGGAGUAGCUUCUCCGAAGACCUGAUGGACCAAUCAGCAGAUGCACCAUCAAGUCGUGAAGAAUUCUGUUUCGUGACCCCACAUGUAGUGCUGGCCACUGGGACAUAUGAUGUACCCAACAGACUUGGAAUCAAGGGAGAAAACCAGCCUUCAGUCCUGCACUCACUGUGUGCCUUCGAGCAGCUCCUGACAGAUGGAGUCUUGACAUCCUCCUCUUCACCUGUGUGCAUUGUUGGAGCAGGACUAAGUGCGGCGGAUGCCAUCUUAAUGGCACUUAAUUCUGGAAUCCCUGUGAUCCACAUUUUCCGACGGGCACCUAAUGACCCUUCUCUCAUUUUCAAAAAGCUUCCACGUUCCAUGUACCCUGAGUAUCACAGGGUAGCUUCGCUGAUGAAAGGAGAGACUGAGAAUGAACUGUAUCAGGCUUAUCCCAGGCACCGUCUUGUUGAAGUUAGCAGUCAGAUGGUCUUCCUGAAACCUUGCUCAUCAUCUUCUCGCUCCCCCUCCCCUCAUGGAGCAGAUGGCUCCAUAAUAUCUGUUGAUGUGUCAUGCACGGUGAUCAUGAUAGGAUCACGACCUGACCUUUCUUUCCUUGCAAAUGGAGGGCGAAAUCUUGGAGUUGUGCCUAAGUGGCAGAUUGACAGCAAGCAUAAUCCAGUUGAUGUAGAUCUCUUCACUUACCAGUCUGUACAUGAACCUCGGCUAUUUGCUAUGGGACCUCUUGUAGGGGACAAUUUUGUACGAUUUGGCAUAGGAGGUGCACUGGGAAUAACCAAUCACUUAAUGCAGUGUUCCCAAAAAGGAGGUCUUUGAAUUUUCCUCUCCAGUUCCUUGUUUUCUGUUUUAAAAUAAUUUUUUAAGAAACCUGUUUUGAGACCAACUGUUUCUUUUCUGCUGAACCAGCUUUUUGUUAGACAUUAGAACAUUUUGCUGCUUUAUGAAAUGGAAACGAUGAGUUUAGAAACAUUUUAAGUUUCACACAUUGUGCGAACUUGAAGAAGGCGUUUCAUAAAGUGGUAAUUAUGUGCCUGUGGUCUUUGCUCAAUAUAUGGUGAUGAUGUUGGUGUUGGCAGUUAGCACAAUAACACCACCAAACUGUUCACUUUUUAACAUACAUUUUUUUUUUUUUUUUCUAACAUGAAAUUUUCUUGAAAGAAUGUAUAAUUCAUGAUAAGUUUAACAACAGUCCAUUUUUUUGGCGGACUUUUUUUGUUAUAGGUUGGUAAUCAGAUGGAUUGUUAUACAGAAAGCUGCAAAACAUUUAUUUUAUCUAGUGCAAAUUAUGAAGGCAAGCUAUAGCUUUGUUUAGGGUAUUUUUAAAUUAUAAAGAGUUAUUGUUGUUACGCUGCAACAAACUCAGAAGGAACUUUUAUAAAAUUUUAGUUUUUCAAGAUCAUUCUGAGAACAUAAGAUGAUUGUUCUCAAAGCAUAAGACAUACCAAGCUAUCUUUGAGUGAUAUAUUUAUAGGUUGGCAUGUGUUUGAAGCACAUUUAGAUUUAAAGUGCUCAAAAAAACCUGUCCAUAACUGAAAUGUAACUUAUUUUGUAUAAAAAAAAUUUUUUCCUGAUUUUAAUCAUUGGUAUAGAAGCGAUAAUUCCUUUUGAUUUAUCACUAAAUGAUGGCAUUUAUAUUCAUCUACAUUUAUUUUGAUGAUGUUACUAGCUGCUGAACUUUUAUUAAAUACAACAUAAAUAGGCCUUAUAUUCCUUUAAUUUGAAUAACAAAUAAUCAUUGUUCAGGGAUAUCUCAAAGAUUUAAGAAAAUCCAUACUUCAUGAUUUUUGAUGGAUAUAAUGUGUGUGGCUUGAGCUGACUUGGUUUUUUUUAUUCAGGUUCUCCAUGACCCUAUGACUACAACUAUUACAGGGGAUGUAAAUGUGACUCUGCCACCAAAUGAGUCUGAAGUCACACUGAGCAGUUUCGUAGUAGAGGCCCAGAAAGGAAUAGAGAUAUUUUGUGGUCUCUGAUAGCAAGAUUCCUUUGUGAGAGAUCAGUGGUGCUGAGAAGAAGAAACCAGAGAUUUUAUCUGUGUAAAUGCAUAUGUAACCAGUAUUUGAAUCUCCGGAAACUUCUAGAAUUUUCAUUUGAUGUAAUCUAGAACUUGAGGUUUGAGUGUUAAUUUUUGUCAUUUUUGUAGAAAACCUGAAAAGUGCCAACACAUUUGUUUCUGUUGUUUUUCUUUGCCCAUUACUUUUUCCGUACUAACUAGGAAUCAUGCUAUCGUUUUCCCCUCUGAAGAUAUGGGCAUAAUUUGUUGUUUUGCUGUCAGGUGCAUCAAUGAUGCUAAAUAAUUUAAAAUCAGUACUAGAUAUUUUAAAGUUUGUUAAUUAUUUUGGGGUUUUUGGUAUCCAGUAUGAUUUUAUUUGUUGCAUCCAUUGGUGCUGAAAGGAGUAAUGCAUUUUUAUUACUGAACCUGCUAAGUUUUAAGACUGCUUGCCCAACCAAAGCACUACAAGUAAGAGGAAAAUGCUUAACAUGGGCAGUGAACAAUUGGUGACCUGCCCUUGCUACUCAAGUUUUUAAAGUCUGACUCAUCCAGAUUUGCACUUUAGCUAACCAUGAGCUCCUCUUCAGAAUUUUUCACGAGGGCAGCAGAAGAAAAAGAAAUUGUAAUGCAUGACUUAAUGUCUUAUACUUUUAAAAUAAUAUAUGAAUCUAUAGCUGUUACAGGUAUUUUGUUUCGAAACUGCAUUUACUAAAGUAUCUGAUGGAUUGUGAGUUCUGUUUCAAAAGUUAGUUGAAAGCAACAUUUUGAAGUACAUGCUUAUGUCAUUUUGAAAUGAGUACAUUCUGCACUUUCUAUCCGUCAUAAGUUACUCAAUGAUCUGCCGUAAAAACUAUGAAUAUCAUUAUAUGAUACUGUAGAGAUGGAGCAUUGAGUAAAUGUUCUUGUAUAUCUGUAAAUGUUUGGAGGACACGAUGUAUCUAUUCUGCACUACCACCAACCUUUGCUGGGACACCUGCUUACUAACAGACUAGACUGGUCAGUGCAAAUCUCUUCUUCAUUAGCCUUAUCACCUAUGACCCUACUGCCAUUUGAUGAGCAAUUAGCAAAAAUGCGUCCACAAAAUUAUUUUUAAAUGUCAGCAAUUAAAUCUUUAUGCUUGAUGAAAAUUUUCCUGUUCUGGAAAAAUACCAACUUUCUGUAUUCAUUAGCUGCCUAGAGCUUGCAGAAAAAUAUUAUCGUGCUUACUUUACUUGUAGUCAUGACUUGAAAAGAGCAGAUUUAAUGUAAAUUUAUGCACAUUUACAGAUGAGUGAAUUUUUUUUCUACAGGUUUAAAAAAAAAUAUAAAUACAACCCUUAUGACUUGAUCAAGUGGUUGUUUUUAGUACACUUUACCUAGCUACAGCUGUGCAUGUGCUAAGCAUCAGUGAGCAUUUUUGUAUUAGCUAAGAAAUACAGGAUAUUAACGAGUUCCCCAAUACUAGUGUUAAAAACCACUUUGAGAUGGAUGUUGUAAAAAUUCCCUGUAUAUUACCUUAAUUAAAUUGCUGUAAGACAACACUCAAAGCAACAAAGGUUUUUAUUCCCUUAAGUCUAAAUGAAAUUUUGAUAACUGUAAACUUUAAAUACCAAAGUUUGGAAUGGAUAAGCUGCAAUGUGCUGAUGACAUUCAGAUGCCUAAGUGUUAAGAAGAGUAGCAAGGUAUAAAAAUGCUUCGUGUGCUAUAUAAAAUAUCAAUUACAGUCUUUUAUAUAUUUUGGAAAACUGAUUUGAUUUAUGACACGUUUUGGAUUCCCUAGAGAGAUGCCUUCAAAAUUUUAGGCUGUUAUGAAUGGUGGUUUACGUCUUACGAGGCUAGUUUGGACUUCAUUGUACUCCAAGCAUUCUCACACUUUGCAGAUGUUCUAGUCCUGAUCUUUGUUUUUUGUUAAGUACUAGUAUUUGAAAAGUCAAGUUAUUAUUGACAUGUGACAAAGGUCAUGUUGUGCUGCCAAAUGCCAUAGCACCAGUGUGAUUGUGCAAUAUCUCAUAGCUUUUCAGGUAAUGCAAAUGUCAACUUAAUUUUAUUGAUAGGAUGAAGUUGUCAGCUUUCUAAAAUUCUAUGGUCAUGGAUAGCAGAUUGCAAAAUGUCCACAGAAGGUGAUAUUUUUGGUUGUAAAUGGUGAUAUUUUUUAAUGAAUGCUUUCUGUACUUAUUAAAAUGGAACAAGUUAAAA